CUUAACACAUGCAAGUCGAACGAGAACGGAUUAUAGCUUGCUAUAAUUGUCAGCUAAGUGGCGCACGGGUGAGUAAUAUAUAGGUAAUGUGCCCUAGAGAAGAGGAUAACAGUUGGAAAACGACUGCUAAGACUCUAUAUGCCUUUAAGACAGAAGUCUGCAAGGGAAAUAUUUAUAGCUCUAGGAUCAGCCUGUACAGUAUCAGUUAGUUGGUGAGGUAAUGGCUCACCAAGACAAUGACGCUUAACUGGUUUGAGAGGAUGAUCAGUCACACUGGAACUGAGACACGGUCCAGACUCCUACGGGAGGCAGCAGGUGGGGAAUAUUGCACAAUGGACGAAAGUCUGAUGCAGCAACGCCGCGUGGAGGAUGACACAUUUCGGUGCGUAAACUCCUUUUAUAUGGGAAGAUAAUGACGGUACCAUAUGAAUAAGCACCGGCUAACUCCGUG
rnacentral:rRNA from 1 species